GAUGAACGCUGGCGGCGUGCCUAAUACAUGCAAGUCGAGCGAACAGAUGAGGAGCUUGCUCCUCUGACGUUAGCGGCGGACGGGUGAGUAACACGUGGAUAACCUACCUAUAAGACUGGGAUAACUUCGGGAAACCGGAGCUAAUACCGGAUAAUAUAUUGAACCGCAUGGUUCAAUAGUGAAAGACGGUUUUGCUGUCACUUAUAGAUGGAUCCGCGCCGCAUUAGCUAGUUGGUAAGGUAACGGCUUACCAAGGCAACGAUGCGUAGCCGACCUGAGAGGGUGAUCGGCCACACUGGAACUGAGACACGGUCCAGACUCCUACGGGAGGCAGCAGUAGGGAAUCUUACGCAAUGGGCGAAAGCUUGACGGAGCAACGCCGCGUGAGUGAUGAAGGUCUUCGGAUCGUAAAACUCUGUUAUUAGGGAAGAACAAAUGUGUAAGUAACUAUGCACGUCUUGACGGUACCUAAUCAGAAAGCCACGGCUAACUACGUG
rnacentral:rRNA from 1 species